GCAACCUGUUUUCUCCGUCGUCAUCAAAGAUUUAGUAUAAAACGAGGCGUUUAUGGGACACAGGCAUCAGUUCAAUUUGAAAAUUGUUACAAUGAAAUUCUUUGCCUUCAUCACGUUGUUCGUGUGCGCCAUGUUGGCGCUGGCCAGCGGUGGACAGGUGUACUAUAGACAGGUGCGCAGCCCAGUUGUCGAGGACGCAGCGCCAGCACCAGGCCACCAUCACCACCACCACCAUUACGGAUACGGCUACGGAUACCACUGAUAUGGAAGUGAUUGGUUAUUGAUUGAUUAAAAGUUUCGUUAAGUUUACGAUUGGGAUAUUGUUUAGUAUGAGGUAUAAUAAUAAAGUAUUUUGUAGAUAA